AGCAGUUUUAGCGUAGUGAGGCGGGAAGUCUGAUCGGAGCGUGGAAGUAGAGGAACUGAAGAUAGGGAAUAAAGGCAGCUUUUCAUGAUAAUGUUAUUAUAAAGAUAAAAAGGAAGAGGUUUAGGGGCAUUUGAGAUCUGUGAGGCAUCAAACUGCCCAGCCACCUAACUCCAGACACACUCUAAUGUGUGUGGUGUAGGAUUUAGAAGAAUUCUGCUUCAGGUUUUGCAUAAACCAUCUGACUGUAGUAACACAAACAUCAGGUUUUGCAGAAAUGGACCAUGAUCUCCUGAAGAACUUUAUCAGCAAAGCAAGCAGAGUUGGAGCCUUUAAAAAUUGAUCCCAUCUGCAGGAAAGGAGUUUUUGAGCCUUUCCAUUUCCCCUGCAAAAGCCAGAGAUGAAUCACUUCUCUUUAAUUAACAGUAUGUAUGAUGAGCUACGUUUGGCUGAGUACUUGUAUCUGUCAAAAGAAGGAUGGUGGUGAGUGGUCUUUGUCUGCCUAAACCCAGUUUAUGUAGAAAGCAUUGAAUGUUCUGAUCAGAUGUGACUAAGGUC
rnacentral:sRNA from 1 species